rnacentral:rRNA from 1 species
GACGAACGCUGGCGGCGUGCUUAACACAUGCAAGUCGAACGAAGAGCGAUGGAAGCUUGCUUCUAUCAAUCUUAGUGGCGCACGGGUGAGUAACGCGUAAUCAACCUGCCCUUCAGAGGGGGACAACAGUUGGAAACGACUGCUAAUACCGCAUACGAUCUAAUCUCGGCAUCGAGGAUAGAUGAAAGGUGGCCUCUACAUGUAAGCUAUCACUGAAGGAGGGGAUUGCGUCUGAUUAGCUAGUUGGAGGGGUAACGGCCCACCAAGGCGAUGAUCAGUAGCCGGUCUGAGAGGAUGAACGGCCACAUUGGGACUGAGACACGGCCCAGACUCCUACGGGAGGCAGCAGUGGGGAAUCUUCCGCAAUGGACGAAAGUCUGACGAAGCAACGCCGCGUGAGUGAUGACGGCCUUCGGGUUGUAAAGCUCUGUUAAUCGGGACGAAAGGCCUUCUUGCGAAUAGUGAGAAGGAUUGACGGUACCGGAAUAGAAAGCCACGGCUAACUACGUG